AAAAUAUGAAGAUAAAUAAUGCUAAUUUGAACAAAAUAAAAAGAUAAAAGCAAUAAUAGUCUAUCACUAUAUAUUAUCACAAGUUAUAUACAGAUGGGUAAUAAUGCUAAUUAUUAAAUUUUAUUUAGCUAAGGAUAAAAAUUAAUUAAUUAAAUAUGGAUAUUUUGAAAAAUAUCUUUUAAUGAUAGUAUUCAAACUUUUUAGAUUAAAUAAAAAGCUAAAAAAAUUAGUUUAAUAACUUAAUUACUGAAAAUCUUCAUCAAGUUGAAAAAAUAAACUGACUUAAUGAUUUAACUUAUUAAAGUUAAGUCAAUUAAGUCAUUAAGUCAAAAAAAAAAAAAAAAAACAGCCUCUUAGUCUACAUUAUAAAAAACUAAUUUUGUAAUUUCCAAAUAUAUCAGGAAAUUUUGUUGCAAAUAUAUGUGUUUCAUUACUAGAAACAAGUCAAAUGAAGAGAAUCUCAAUUUAAAUAAAUAUUAUGAAAUAGGAGAAUAUUGGACAAAAUGGUGGAUAAACAUAAAUGGAACAAUUAACUAUAGUCAAAUUGCGUAUAUAGUGUUUAAUAAGCCAUUAGUGUCCAAAUGUGGCAACAUAAAUUAACAAUUAAAAAACUCUUGUCUUGUAGUGUAAUUAAACAUUUUCUAAUGCCAACCCAAUGCCUUUCUCAAUUUUUGUUGAUUAUUUGAUGGAACGUUUCUUGUUCAAGUUAUCAGAAAGUCUAAAUCUCCAUAUAUCAUGCUAUUUAAUUCGACUAUUAGAAGCAAGACAAAUAUCGUUAAUCGUUAACUUCUAAUUAAUGUUAUCUUAUCAAGCCACGUUAUGAAAUAGUCCAUUUGUUAGAGCCCAUUUACCGACUGCUAAGUAAUAAUGAUAUGCUUUAUUCCCAAUCGUUAACGUUCGAGUAGUCCUUAGGUUAAGUAUGUUCUAUAUUUUGAAAAUAUCUCAAGAUAUAUUUGUUUAGUUGCUUUUGAAUAUGUGACAAUUUUAUCCUUUUUUUUUACAACAAUGUC
rnacentral:lncRNA from 1 species